rnacentral:rRNA from 1 species
UACGUAGGGGGCUAGCGUUGUCCGGAAUCAUUGGGCGUAAAGAGCGUGUAGGCUGCUCGGUAAGUCCGCUGUAAAAGUCAAAGGCUCAACCUUUGAAUGUCAGUGGAUACUGCCGGGCUAGAGUCCGGAAGAGGCGAGUGGAACUCCUGGUGUAGCGGUGGAAUGCGCAGAUAUCAGGAAGAACACCAACGGCGAAGGCAGCUCGCUAGGACGGUACUGACGCCUAGACGAACGCG